rnacentral:rRNA from 1 species
UUGGAGGGCAGUCUGGUGCAGCAGCCGCGGUAAUUCCAGCUCCAAUAGCGUAUAUUAAAGUUGUUGCAGUUAAAAAGCUCGUAGUUGAACUUCGGGGUCUACCCAUUGGUCAGGCUUAAUUGUCUGCACUGGUGAGAUGGAUCUCUACCUUCUGAGGAACUUUCAUGCCAUUUAUUUGGUGUGAUGGGAAAUCAGGACUGUUACUUUGAAAAAAUUAGAGUGUUUAAAGCAGACUAUCGUCUGAAUACAUUAGCAUGGAAUAAUGAAAUAGGACGGACUGAUUCUAUUUCGUUGGUUUCUAGGAUCACCGUAAUGAUUAAUAGGGAUAGUUGAGGGCAUUAGUAUUCAAUUGUCAGAGGUGAAAUUCUUGGAUUUAUUGAAGACUAACUACUGCGAAAGCAUUUGCCAAGGAUGUUUUCAUUAAUCAAGAACGAAAGUUAGGGGAUCGAAGACGAUCAGAUACCGUCGUAGUCUUAACCAUAAACUAUGCCGACUAGGGAUCGGACGAAGUUAAUUUUAUAAUGACGCGUUCGGCGCCUUACGGGAAAC